rnacentral:rRNA from 1 species
AUUGAACGCUGGCGGCAUGCUUUACACAUGCAAGUCGAACGGCAGCGGGGGCUUCGGCCUGCCGGCGAGUGGCGAACGGGUGAGUAAUGCAUCGGAACGUGCCCAUGUCGUGGGGGAUAACGUAGCGAAAGCUACGCUAAUACCGCAUACGCCCUGAGGGGGAAAGCGGGGGAUUCUUCGGAACCUCGCGCGAUUGGAGCGGCCGAUGUCGGAUUAGCUAGUAGGUGAGGUAAAGGCUCACCUAGGCGACGAUCCGUAGCGGGUCUGAGAGGAUGAUCCGCCACACUGGGACUGAGACACGGCCCAGACUCCUACGGGAGGCAGCAGUGGGGAAUUUUGGACAAUGGGCGCAAGCCUGAUCCAGCCAUGCCGCGUGAGUGAAGAAGGCCUCGGUUGUAAG